CUCUCUCCUGGCGGGAAAGGCCACAGCUGAUGGCUCCGCGGCAUCCUCAGGGAGCUGUGAUGCCUUCCCCCCAUUGACAUCAAGAUGAUCAAAGCUCUGCCGUCUUUAAAUCGACUCCAGGAGGUAUUUAUCACGGUCUGUGCACCACCUAGAGGCCGCUGUCUUAAACUCUUUCCAGUAAGCAACCUGUCUCCUUCCCUCACCAACAGAAAGACCCCAGAAAGGCUGUGUUUCCUGAGUAGACUCCACUGUGCUUCUACUUUCUCGAAGUUGGCUUUCUGUGAUCCCACGCACCUCUCACGGAGUCCUUAGACUGAAGCAGACCUGCUCAACCAGAACAGCUUUCUAACACUUUCUAGCCUCUGUCAAAAGAAAAAAACUCUUCGGUUUGUCUUCAGAAGUAAGAAAGGUACCUAGGAAAGAUGAGCUGAGCCUUCCAGCUGAUGUCCAAACCCACACGAGCUCUCAGUGCUAGGAGAUGCUUGCAGCUGCCUGACCGGCACUCCUGGCUGGGUCUUCCCGUAUGGGGCUCAUUCUCCCAGGACUGGAGAUCCUGUCCACUUCACCCUCCCUCCCAUGACCAUGUCGCUGCCACACAACACAGAUUAGGAGCUGUCCCCAGGGGAUGACACCAUUUUGGGGGAAUUGAUAUCAACUAUGUUAUUGUUGUCAUUGUUUGCUCUGGUUUAUUGUGGCAAAAUACAUAUAACAUAACAUUUA